CCUACGGGUGGCAGCAGUGAGGAAUAUUGGUCAAUGGGCGAGAGCCUGAACCAGCCAAGUCGCGUGAGGGAAGACGGUCCUAUGGAUUGUAAACCUCUUUUGCCGGGGAGCAAAAAGCGGUACGUGUACCGCAUCGAGAGUACCCGGAGAAAAAGCAUCGGCUAACUCCGUGCCAGCAGCCGCGGUAAUACGGAGGAUGCGAGCGUUAUCCGGAUUUAUUGGGUUUAAAGGGUGCGCAGGCGGGCUGUUAAGCCGGCGGUAAAAAUUCAGGGCUCAACCCUGUCGAGCCGUCGGAACUGGCAGUCUUGAGUGGGCGAGAAGUAUGCGGAAUGCGUGGUGUAGCGGUGAAAUGCAUAGAUAUCACGCAGAACGCCGAUUGCGAAGGCAGCAUACCGGCGCCCAACUGACGCUGAGGCACGAAAGCGUGGGGAUCGAACAGGAUUAGAUACCCCUGUAGUC
rnacentral:rRNA from 1 species